rnacentral:tRNA from 1 species
GCCGGGGUGGCGAAAUGGUAUACGCGCAGGACUUAAAAUCCUGUGACCUCAACAGUCGUGAGGGUUCGAGUCCCUCCCUCGGCA